rnacentral:misc_RNA from 1 species
CCCUGGUAGAAAUAUGAUGACUUCCUUCAGUUGCUUCCCUUGCCAGACCAAAAUCAGAGACCUUAGGGGUGAAGUCAUCUUCUAAUAAAACAUUGCUAGCCUUGAAAUCUCGAUGAAUUACACGAGGGUUAGAAUCUUCAUGAAGAUAGGCCAAUCCUCUAGCUGCUCCAAGGGCAAUCUUUAACCGUGCAUCCCAGUCAAGAGGUCCGCUUCUCUUGUCAAGGCCAUGCAAGUGGGAUUCAACACUGCCAUUGGGAACAAGUUCAUAGACCAAGCACCGAGUACGUCCUUCUAUGCAUAUACCAAUCAACUUCACUAGAUUACGGUGAUGCAAUCUACUUAACAUCUCAACUUCUGCAACAAAUUCACGGUCUCCAUUCUGAUUAUCCCGUGUAAGUAGUUUAACUGCAACCUCACUUCCAUCUUCCAUAAUCCCACGGUAAACACGCCCAAAUCCCCCUUCACCCA